CACUUCCCCCCUUGGCCUCAGCGGCGGAGCUAAGAAACAAUGCCGCUUUCUCUCUCGUCCUCACCCACUGCCGCCGCUACUACUGCCGCCAGCGGAGCCGCUCACCGCUUCCUCUAUCCUCACCGGCCGUGCCUCCACCGCGCUGGAAAAAAUUUCGUACUUCUCUCGUUUGUUCCCUGUCGGGCUUCUUCCGUAGCUCGCGGUCUGAUCAGGGGCAUGGCAGAUGUGGAAACGCAGAAGGCUGCAUCUCCUUCUAUAUUGGCUGUAGGGCAUAAGCAAGCAUUGAUAUCAUUGUCGGAUAAGCGAGACUUAUCUCUUCUUGGAGAUGGACUCCAAGGCUUAGGGUAUUCUAUUGUUUCGACCGGCGGAACAGCAUUUGCUUUAGAAGAAGCUGGUGUCUCUGUAACUAAAGUUGAAGAGAUCACCCAUUUUCCAGAAAUGCUAGAUGGACGGGUGAAAACUCUACAUCCUAGUAUACAUGGUGGUAUUCUUGCUCGUAGAGAUCAUAAUCAUCACAUGGAAGCCUUAAGUAGGCACAACAUUGGAACAUUUGAUAUAGUGGUGGUGAACUUGUAUCCAUUCUAUGAAAAGGUUACUUCUGCCAAUGGAAUAACUUUUGAGGAUGGAAUUGAGAAUAUCGACAUUGGUGGCCCUACCUUGAUACGUGCUGCAGCAAAGAAUCACAAAGAUGUCUUGGUUGUUGUUGACCACAAAGACUAUCCUGCAGUCUUGGAAUUUCUGCAAGGAAAACAAGAUAAUCAGCAUUUUCGGAGGAAACUGGCAUGGAAGGCCUUUCAACAUGUUGCUUCUUAUGAUUCUGCAGUGUCAGAGUGGUUGUGGAAGCAAACAGAGGAUGGAGAUAAGAUGCCUCCAAGCUUUACAGUGCCCUUGUCACUGAAGUGUACUCUUCGAUAUGGUGAAAAUCCUCAUCAGAAAGCUGCAUUUUACGAUGACAGGAGUUUAUCCCUGGUUAAUGCUGGUGGUAUUGCCACUGCUAUACAACACCAUGGGAAGGAAAUGUCGUACAAUAAUUAUUUGGAUGCUGAUGCUGCCUGGAACUGUGUCUCCGAGUUCAAGAACCCUACUUGUGUGAUUGUGAAGCACACAAAUCCCUGUGGUGUAGCAUCACGUCAAGACAUCCUUGAAGCCUACAGGCUAGCUGUAAAGGCUGAUCCUGUCAGUGCUUUUGGUGGCAUUGUCGCUUUCAACACAAUAGUAGAUGAGGACCUAGCAAAGGAAAUCCGUGAGUUUAGGAGUCCAAUAGACGGUUUGAUUCGAAUGUUUUACGAGAUUGUGGUUGCACCUAAAUAUACUGAGAAAGGCCUUGAGAUCCUCCGUGGCAAGUCAAAGACUUUGAGGAUCCUUGAGGCAAAAAAGAGUGAGAAAGGGAUGCUUUCACUGCGACAGGUUGCUGGGGGCUGGUUAGCUCAGGACUCUGAUGAUUUAACCCCAGAAGAUAUCAAAUUCACUGUGAUGUCGGAAAGGAUACCACAAGAGGCUGAGCUUCAAGAUGCGGAAUUUGCAUGGCUUUGUGUUAAGCAUGUCAAGAGUAAUGCAAUUGUAAUAGCCAAGAAUAACUGUAUGUUGGGAAUGGGGAGUGGGCAGCCAAAUAGGGUGGAGAGCUUACGAAUAGCUUUUAGGAAAGCAGGAGAAGAGGCAAAAGGAGCUGCUUUGGCUAGUGAUGCUUUCUUCCCAUUUGCUUGGAAGGACGCGGUCGAAGAGGCAUGCCAGAACGGUAUCGGAGUUAUUGCUGAACCUGGAGGCAGUAUCAGAGACGGAGAUGCCGUGGACUGCUGCAACAAAUAUGGAGUUUCUCUUGUCUUUACGAAUGUCCGACACUUCAGGCACUGAAGACCAUCUUCUCUCCAAGUAUGGAAGAGAAAAUUCCUGACAGAGGAAUACAGUUCAGAAGCAAGACUAAAUGGUGAAGCCAAAAUCUACACUCAUGGCCAAGAAUAGCAAACAAAGCAAACUCCAAAAACAAAGAGCUGCUGCUACCAAUUACAGCGGGGAUGUCAACUGCGCAGGGCAAUUCUAUAUCUUAAGUGUACGUGUGUGUGCAUGCAAGUGCGUGCGUUCGUGUAUCCAAAGCCAACUUAUGCACCAAAUUGUUCAUGGAGUUCAAUGUUGAUGGAUGGUGGGGUAGCAGUUUGCACUCCGCCAUCCAAUAUUAAUGUGGUGAUUAAGAGCAUGAUAUGCACUUAAAAUCA